rnacentral:rRNA from 1 species
AACGAACGCUGGCGGCAGGCCUAACACAUGCAAGUCGAACGGGACCUUCGGGUCUAGUGGCGGACGGGUGAGUAACGCGUGGGAACGUGCCCUUUGGUUCGGAAUAGCCCCGGGAAACUGGGCGUAAUACCGGAUAAGCCCUACGGGGGAAAGAUUUAUCGCCAAAGGAACGGCCCGCGUUGGAUUAGGUAGUUGGUGGGGUAAUGGCCUACCAAGCCGACGAUCCAUAGCUGGUUUGAGAGGAUGAUCAGCCACACUGGGACUGAGACACGGCCCAGACUCCUACGGGAGGCAGCAGUGGGGAAUCUUAGACAAUGGGGGAAACCCUGAUCUAGCCAUGCCGCGUGAUCGAUGAAGGCCUUAGGGUUGUAAAGAUCUUUCAGUGGGGAAGAUAAUGACUGUACCCACAGAAGAAGCCCCGGCUAACUCCGUGCCAGCCGCCGCAGUAACAC